rnacentral:rRNA from 1 species
AGUGAACGCUGGCGGUAGGCCUAACACAUGCAAGUCGAACGGCAGCACAGUAAGAGCUUGCUCUUACGGGUGGCGAGUGGCGGACGGGUGAGGAAUACAUCGGAAUCUACUUUUUCGUGGGGGAUAACGUAGGGAAACUUACGCUAAUACCGCAUACGACCUACGGGUGAAAGCAGGGAUCUUCGGACCUUGGGCGAUUGAAUGAGCCGAUGUCGGAUUAGCUAGUUGGCGGGGUAAAGGCCCACCAAGGCGACGAUCCGUAGCUGGUCUGAGAGGAUGAUCAGCCACACUGGAACUGAGACACGGUCCAGACUCCUACGGGAGGCAGCAGUGGGGAAUAUUGGACAAUGGGCGCAAGCCUGAUCCAGCCAUACCGCGUGGGUGAAGAAGGCCUUCGGGUUGUAAAGCCCUUUUGUUGGGAAAGAAAAGCAGCAGGUUAAUACCCCGCUGUUCUGACGGUACCCAAAGAAUAAGCACCGGCUAACUUCGUG